GUGGGGAAUCUUGCGCAAUGGGCGAAAGCCUGACGCAGCCAUGCCGCGUGAAUGAUGAAGGUCUUAGGAUUGUAAAAUUCUUUCACCGGGGACGAUAAUGACGGUACCCGGAGAAGAAGCCCCGGCUAACUUCGUGCCAGCAGCCGCGGUAAUACGAAGGGGGCUAGCGUUGCUCGGAAUUACUGGGCGUAAAGGGCGCGUAGGCGGACAGUUUAGUCAGAGGUGAAAGCCCAGGGCUCAACCUUGGAAUUGCCUUUGAUACUGGCUGUCUUGAGUACGGGAGAGGUGAGAGGAACUCCGAGUGUAGAGGUGAAAUUCGUAGAUAUUCGGAAGAACACCAGUGGCGAAGGCGACUCACUGGCCCGUUACUGACGCUGAGGCGCGAAAGCGUGGGGAGCAAACAGGAUUAGAAACCCCGGUAGUCC
rnacentral:rRNA from 1 species